AGUUCAUAAGUGAAAUCUUUUUCCUGUUUUCAGCUCCAACCAACUUUGUCUCUCUCACUGACUCCCUUCAUUAUCAAAGAAAUACUCUCAUUUAUGGGGCCUAUGCUAGAUGAAAGUCCUAAUACCAAUGUGCCGUGAACCCUUCAUGUGAAGUUUCCAGGGGAGCAGUUCUCUUGACAAACUUGCAUACUGCCUGCAAUAUGGUUCCAAAGUUCACAAUAAGAUCCCAAGUUGCCUGCAUGGGUUGGAGAUAAAAUGAUCAAACCAGCCAUUUCAGCUCAGGCCUGUGGCAUGGCCAUCUUGGCUAGUAGCCGUUGAUAGGCAUGCCCUCCUUUCAUGUGUGUGUCGAUGCCUCUUUUGAAACUUAAGCUAGGGGCCGUCACCACUUCUUGUGAUAGUGACAUUCAUAAAUUAAUUAUCAGUUGUGUGAAGAAGCAUUUUCUUUAGACUGCCCUGAACCUACUGCCAGUCAAUCUUCGUGUCACCCGUUGAAGUUUAGUAUUAUAAGAGAAGGAAGACGGACCAUGUAUAAUUUUAUAGACAUCUCUCAUGUUUCCACUUGCCUCCUAGCUUCUACCAACAAAUAUCUUUGUGAAUCCCACCUGCUCCUUCGGGAAUAAAGUAUAUCCUGAGGCUGCUGCAGCAGAUUUCUCAAUUAUUCUCAGAAGGCAUUUCUCCCUCCACUAAACGCACCAUCGUGAGUCAUUUGUUGCUAAAUCACCCUAUUUUUGUGCUCAAAGUGGCCUAAUCAUUAUGGGAAUAAUGGCAAGGAAAUGAGGUUUGGUUGGGUUGUUGUUGUUUUUUUAGCAAGUGAAAAAUGCAUAUGUGGCUUAAAUUAACAGUAAAUGUACUCUAAUGGGAUUGGCACCCAGAGGCUCUAAUUAAGGGUUAAAAUCAAACAAGACGCACAAUUUUGGGACUUAAUUGCUCCCUGGUUCGUGCGUCAUUGCUUGUGUUUGGAAGGAGAUGGGAGGGGGAAGGGGUAGUGGUGGCGGCCAGGAGGAGGGGGUUCUUUGAAUAAAAAACAUUUAAGUGUGUGCCCCCUCCCCUAAAAAAGGGGGGGGAAAGGUACAGAAUAUAACUUGCAAGCAAGUAGCUCCUGGCAGAGCUGAACCAGAUGGCACUCCUUGCGCACCUCAUGCGCUGCCUGUUUCUGCUGGUGGUGAUCUACUCCUGUCCCGCACCCGCUACACUUCCUGUUCCAGAAGGACUUGCGUGGAAAGACAGCAAGUAUUCACAGGCACAGACAGACAUAAAAAGAAGUGAGCUGCUUGCUUUCCUUUCUGGCCUCGCUGACUGGGUAUCUCGUACGAAUGAGGCACCACUAUCAAGGCAGGAAAAGGCUGGGCUCAGCUCUCGGGAAGACAGAGCCCCUCAUCCUCAGCCCCCAGCCCGGGAAAAGGCACCCUGUAAGAACUUCUUCUGGAAGACUUUCUCUUCCUGCUAACGAAAAUUACUUCUUGGGAUGUUGCCCUAGCACCAGUGGACUCGAGAUGGCUAUGACCGGUGACUUCUCUCCUUGAGCAGCAAGUGCUGCUAUGUAAUAUAAAAUUUCUCCUUUCCCUUUUGUUGAUAUUAGAUGUGUGCAUAGAGAACCAAAUCAGUAUGCUCAUAACUCCCAACUUGUGUGCAGAUGUGUUCGUAGGGCAUUUAACUGAUGUUCCCCAUCUCAUUCAGACUG